rnacentral:rRNA from 1 species
CCAUGCACGUUUAAGUAAAUCCUAAUAUAAAGGGAAACCGCGAAUGGCUCAGUAAGCCGGACACAAGUGUUUAUUUGAUCGUAGCCAUACUAGAUGGAUAACUCUGGUAAUUCUAGAGCUAAUACAUGCAAAUUGAACUCGGACCCUAUUAUUAGUUUACUAAUAUUAUGGGGAGAGUGCAUUUAUUGGAAUGUCGGGUGUCGGUCUUUUGAUCGUCGCUUGCAGGUGACUCUGGAUAACUACAUGCCGAUCGCGGAGUGUAUACUCAGCGACGUCUCAUUCAAGUGUCUGCCUUAUCAGUUUGAUCGAAGGCUGCGGGCCUAUCGAUGGCUAUGACGGGUAACGGAGAAUCAGGUUCGGUUCCGGAGAGGGAGCCUGAGAAACGGCUACCACAUCCAAGGAAGGCAGCAGGCGCGCAACUUACCCAUUCCCAGCUCGGGGAGGUAGUGACGAGAAGUACUGAUUCGGACUUUUGUCAUGAGUCGGAGUGAGGGCAGCCUAAAAAGUUUGAUGAGGUGCCAUCGGAGGGCAAGUCUGGUGCCAGCAGCCGCGGUAAUUCCAGCUCCGAUAGUGUAUGCUAAGGCUGCUGCGGUUAAAAAGCUCGUAGUUGGAUCUCGGUUCAACUCAGUUGGUUAGUAUCUAUAUCGGUGUAUUGCUGGUAUUUUGCUGCCUUCUGAGCGAUGAACGAUAUUGCCGUGCGUAUUGUGGUUACUGUAAUGGUUGCUUCAGUCGCCGGCGCGUUUACUUUGAGCAAAAGCCAGUGAUCAAAGCAGGCCGUAAGGCCCGAAGUCUCGUGCAUAGAAUGAUGGGAGAUAACCGCCUAAUGCGUUUAAGUAGCUUCGCUGCUUUUUCAUAUUUAGGCGGUAAAUGAUUAAUAGGGACGGACGAGGGCAUUCGUACUUUGACGUUAGGGGUGAAAUCCAAUAACCGUCGAAUGACGACCAAAGGCGAAGGCAUUUGCCAAGAAUGUUUUCGUUAAUCAAGAACGAAAGUCAGAGGUUCGAAGGCGAUUAGAUACCGCCCUAGUUCUGACCGUAAACUAUGCCAACCAGCGAUCCGUCGAGUUUGCGUUAUGGACUCGUACGGGCAGCUUCCUUUGCCGGGAAACCGAAGAGUUCGGGUUCCGGGGGGAGUAUGGUUGCAAAGCUGAAACUUAAAGGAAUUGACGGAGGGGCACCACCAGGAGUGGAGCCUGCGGCUUAAUUUGACUCAACACGGGAAAACUCACCAGGGCCAGACACCGUUAAGAUUGACAGAUUGAGAGCUCUUUCUUGAUUCGGUGGGUGGUGGUGCAUGGCCGUCGUGUAAGUUGGUGGAGCUGAUCAGUCAGGUCAACUCCGGUAACGAACGAGACUCUUAGCUGCUAAAUAGAGCGUCGAGCUGUUCAUACAGGUCGUGCUUGCUCUUCUUAGAGGGACUAAUGGUUCACAGCCAUGCGAAAUGGAGCUAUGACAGGUCUGUGAUGCCCUUAGAUGUCCUGGGCAGCACGCGCGCUACACUGACGAAGCCAAUGGGAUUUAACCUAAUCCGAAAGGAUAUGGAGACCCGCUAAUCUUCGUCGUGUCGGGGAUCGUCCAUUGUAAUUCUUGUACGUGAACGAGAAUUCCCAGUAAGUGCGAUCAAGAGCUCGCGUUGACUACAUCCCUGCCCUUUGUACACACCGCCC